rnacentral:SRP_RNA from 15 species
CAUCUGGACCCGCGCAGCCUGGCAACGGAGCAGGGAAAUCAA